AUUGAACGCUGGCGGAAUGCUUUACACAUGCAAGUCGAACGGCAGCACGGACUUCGGUCUGGUGGCGAGUGGCGAACGGGUGAGUAAUGUAUCGGAACGUGCCCAGUCGUGGGGGAUAACGUAGUGAAAAUUACGCUAAUACCGCAUACGAUCUAUGGAUGAAAGCGGGGGAUCGCAAGACCUCGCGCGAUUGGAGCGGCCGAUAUCAGAUUAGGUAGUUGGUGGGGUAAAGGCCCACCAAGCCAACGAUCUGUAGCUGUCUGAGAGGACGACCAGCCACACUGGAACUGAGACACGGUCCAGACUCCUACGGGAGGCAGCAGUGGGGAAUUUUGGACAAUGGGCGAAAGCCUGAUCCAGCCAUUCCGCGUGCAGGAUGAAGGCCCUCGGGUUGUAAACUGCUUUUGUACAGAACGAAAAGGUUUCUACUAUACUAGGAGCUCAUGACGGUACUGUAAGAAUAAGCACCGGCUAACUACGUGCCAGCCGCCGCGGUAA
rnacentral:rRNA from 1 species